AACGAACGCUGGCGGCAGGCCUAAAACAUGCAAGUCGAGCGCCCAGCAAUGGGAGCGGCGGACGGGUGAGUAACACGUGGGAAUGUACCUUUCGGCGCGGAACAACUCAGGGAAACUUGAGCUAAUGCCGCAUACGCCCUUACGGGGAAAGAUUUAUCGCCGAAAGAUCAGCCCGCGUUGGAUUAGCUUGUUGGUGAGGGAAUGGCUCACCAAGGCGACGAUCCAUAGCUGGUUUGAGAGAACGACCAGCCACACUGGGACUGAGACACGGCCCAGACUCCUACGGGAGGCAGCAGUUGGGAAUCUUGGACAAUGGGGGAAACCCUGAUCCAGCCAUGCCGCGUGAGUGAUGAAGGCCUUCGGGUUGUAAAACUCUUUCGACGGGGACGAUAAUGACGGUACCCGUAGAAGAAGCUCCGGCUAACUUCGUGCCAGCAGCCGCGGUAA
rnacentral:rRNA from 1 species